ACGCGUGCGCAGAAGGGCAGGAGGGCAGGGAAGCCGCGCAGAGACCAGGUGCCACCCGGCCUAACAACCCCCUCCCCUUGGUCUCUAUGGGCGCGCGCAGGCAGCCUCGCUCACCGGCCCCAGGGCCCCGGCUGAAGGGCCGCCGCUAGAGCCACCCCCGUGCUCCCGCCGCUUCUAGUCGCGCCACGGAGAUGCGAUCAGUAAGUUGGAAAAAGAGGAGACGCUACUCCCAGCGACCCCGCCGCCGCCGCCACUGCUCCCGAGGCCUCACCAAAAUGGCCGCCGCCUUCUCGGCCGCCACCGCCACUACCACCACCACCACCACCAAGGCUCGUUAUCGCUACCGCCGGAGCGGCCCGUCUUCUCGCGAUACACAGUAACUGGAGGCUGGAGGGGCGGGUAGGCUCGCGUGCUAGCGUAGGACUCUUGUCUGGAGCGCAAAGCAAGAUCAUCCAGUGAAGUCAAACAAAUUAGUUGUGGAACCUUAGCCACCAGUACCUUUUUUUUUUUUUUUUUUUUAAAGACAAAUUCUCACAAUGUUCUAUGGCUGACCUGGACUCGCUAACCUUAAACUCAACAGAUGCUUCUGCCUCUGCCUAGGAUCAACGGUGCGAGCCAUCACUACCAACUGAAGUUGACUUUGUAGCAUUGGUUUUUCAUGAGCCCCCAAACAUCUGUGCCAUAGAUGUUUGUGCAAACAUAGUUUGCAGGUUUUCUGCAUUAAGAACCCUUUUGAGAGGCUGGGAAGAGAGCUCAGCAACGAAGAAUAUUGGCUAGUUCCUCUUCCAGAGGACCCAGGUUCUAUUUCCAGCACUCACAGUAGCUCAAACAUCUGUAACUCCAGUUUCAGGGAACCAGACACCCUCUUCUGGCUUCAAAGGUCACUGCACAUGGUACAACAGACCCACAUACUUGUAAAAUGCCCAUACAUAUCAAAUAAAAAUCCUUUUAAAAAAA